rnacentral:rRNA from 1 species
GUGCCAGCAGCCGCGGUAAUACGGGGGGUGCAAGCGUUGUUCGGAAUCAUUGGGCGUAAAGCGCGUGCAGGCGGUUUUGUAAGACAGAUGUGAAAUCCCCGGGCUUAACCUGGGAACUGCGUUUGUGACUGCAAGGCUAGAGUACGGCAGAGGGGGGUGGAAUUCCACGUGUAGCAGUGAAAUGCGUAGAUAUGUGGAGGAACACCGAUGGCGAAGGCAGCCCCCUGGGCCUGUACUGACGCUGAAGCACGAAAGCGUGGGGAGCAAAUAGGAUUAGAUACCCUAGUAGUCCACGCCGUAA